UAGAUUCCAUAUAUAUGCGUUAAUAUACGAUAAUAUACCCAUGGUUGAUUCAUGUUUGAUGUAUGGCAGAAAUCAACACAAUAGUGUAAAGCAAUUAUCCUUUAGUUAAAAUAAAUAAAUUAAAAAACAAAACUAAACAAAAACACAUUUGCUCACUUGCUUCAGUUUGAUCUGGGCAUAAAAAGUUGUGCUCAGUUUCACUGCAACUUGUUAUAGAAAUAUAAAAAGUGUAUGAAACAAAGAAUUUUAGCUUAUGUUCUUAAACAUCACAGCACAAUUUAUCAUUAUGGCUACUGAGAAAUAGUACUACUGAUUUUUUUUUUGUACAAUAAUUUUUUUCCCUUAAUCUUUUUUAUUUGACACAGCUAUCUAAUGUUCCAGCCUGGACCUAAGCUUUUCCCAAGUCUGAACUUUAGAGCUGAUAGAUACUGAAAUAGCCCAUUCCAGAGGAGGAACAAGGGAUAGACAACCCAAGAAGGCAGGAAACUCACUUUGAGGUUCAUCAAAAAAGUAUUUGGCUGGGGGACAAAUGGCUCUUUUCCACAAUUAAAGAGCUGAAAGCACAAUAUUGGUGGUGUCAGAUCAGUAAGGAGACAUGGAGAACAACGGAUCAACAUCUCCUCAUAAUAAUCCCCUGAACACCUGAAGACAGCUGUGAGCGCUUAAAGAUUUGCUGAGGCUAAUCUGAAC
rnacentral:lncRNA from 1 species